GAUGAACGCUGGCGGCGUGCUUAACACAUGCAAGUCGAACGGAAAGGCCCAAGCUUGCUUGGGUACUCGAGUGGCGAACGGGUGAGUAACACGUGGGUGAUCUGCCCUGCACUUCGGGAUAAGCCUGGGAAACUGGGUCUAAUACCGGAUAGGACCACAUUUUGGAUGGUGUGGUGGAAAGUUUUUCGGUGUGGGAUGAGCUCGCGGCCUAUCAGCUUGUUGGUGGGGUAAUGGCCUACCAAGGCGUCGACGGGUAGCCGGCCUGAGAGGGUGUACGGCCACAUUGGGACUGAGAUACGGCCCAGACUCCUACGGGAGGCAGCAGUGGGGAAGAUUGCACAAUGGGCGCAAGCCUGAUGCAGCGACGCCGCGUGGGGGAUGACGGCCUUCGGGUUGUAAACUCCUUUCGCUAGGGACGAAGCGUUAUGUGACGGUACCUGGAGAAGAAGCACCGGCUAACUACGCG
rnacentral:rRNA from 1 species